GGGGUUGUCGUGAACCCAGUUCGUCUUGCAAAUCUUGGAGACUUCGGGAUCCCCGAGUUUGUAGCUGAUAAGCAUUUACAAGCAGAAAGGCUUAAGGUAAGGUUCUUGUUUCCAUUGCUGGAACUUUCUAUGACCAAUGCAAAAUUUGAGUCAAGUGUUGAUGGUAUUGAUUAGAAGAAUCUCCCUGUACUUCUAGGGUAACAACAUAAGCAAGGGAACAAUGAGCUGGAAAUUUUUCUUGGAUUAGUUUGAUUCUGUUGUGAACAGAUUUUAGCUAAUACUGAGCACUAAGACACUAAUGGCUAAAUUAACUAAUUAGCUUACAGUUGUCUUCUGUGUUUCAUUCAUUCCAAAUAAUUACAUAUAAUAAUCUAGAACAUUCCCUUUCUAUCACAAACUAUUGGCACCUCACCUAUUCUCUAAAAUAUUCCUAUAAUGAUUUCUUUUAUCCAUAGCAGAUUCUUGGUUGAUCUCUGUUUAUUUAAAUUAAAAGUAGCAAUGAUCAUAGAUGUAUUCACGGAGCAGGAGUUCUUUAACAAAUAUAGGGAAAGGUCACACGGGUUCAAGCCAUGGAAACAGUCACUAAUGUAAUUAUCAGGUUAAUUUGUGUACAUUACACUCUUUAGUUGUGGCCCUUUUCCGAAUCCUGUGUUAAUGUGGAUGCUUGUUCACCAGGCUAACCCUGUUGCUUCUAUAUUUCGACGAAAGGAAUAAUGGCCAUUACAUAUAGUUUGCUCUGCAUUUAACAACUAAAGAAAGUACAAAGGAAGCUGAAUUAAUUGCAGCUUCAGAAAGAUCAGGGGAUGGAGGUUUGCAAAUUUAUGAAUUUGAAUACAUCAUUGAUAGUACUCGUAGAGGAAAGAAGAGGAUAUUGACCUCAAAGAAACUCUAUCUUCUUAACAUUGUUCAUUCUGAUAAACCAGAGAGUCCUCUUGAGCCACAUAAACAAAUUAUUUUAGAUCAA